CAAAAGUGGAGACAAAAGCAUAAGCGCCGGCGAUAACCAAAGCCGUCGCACCAGCAUCCUGAACCAUUGAACCACCAUCACCAAUAACAUCAAAACCACCUAAACCGGCCAUCACCGGACCGGGAACAGAUCGGAAAUUGUACGGCGAGAAGAAACGUCGGCGAAAUAUAUCAGUGUCGGUUGUUGCAGUGAGAGAUGGAAGCGGCAGAUUUGAGAGGCGGAGAUGACGAGGAAGAAGAGAGUGGGCGACCGGAACCACCAAG
rnacentral:misc_RNA from 1 species